AAGUCGUAACAAGGUUUCCGUAGGUGAACCUGCGGAAGGAUCAUUAUUGAAACUUGAAUCGUAGCAUUGAGAACUGUUGCUGACCUGUUAAAGGGUAUGUGCACGUUCGACGUGUUGCGUUCUAUUCAUCCACCUGUGCACCUUUGUAGACUUGAUUAACUUUCGCUCUGGAGCGGUUAGAAGGGUUGCUUUCGAGCUCCCUUUGUCUAUCAAGUCUAUGUCUAUAUAAUCUCUUGUAUGUCUAGAAUGUCUUGUUUAUGGGACGCAAGUCCUUUAAAUCUUAUACAACUUUCAACAACGGAUCUCUUGGCUCUC
rnacentral:misc_RNA from 1 species